GGCCGGGUGGUGUAGCGGUUAUCACACCAGCUUUACACGCUGUUGGUCGCGAGUUCGAUCCUCGCCCUGGUCA
rnacentral:tRNA from 4 species